GCUCCUGUGGCCUAGUGGUUAGAGCGUCCGCCUCGGAUGCGGAAGGUUGUGGUUUGACGUUGCUAGACGAGUUGCA